GGUUCCUAAGUACGNGACCGACUAACGGAGAGGCGCACGCCGCGACGAAGUCAGCGACUGGGGUG
rnacentral:rRNA from 1 species